UAUAAGAUGAUAAAACAUGAAUAAUCACUGGUCGUCUGUUUUAUUUGAAAAUUUUUUAUAAUUAGCAUUUUUGUUAUUAUAAGAUGAUAAAACAUGAAUAAUACUUUACUCGUGACUUAUGUUUUUAAAUUUUUUCAAAAAAUUUUAAAAUAAGACGAAUGGUCAAAGUUAGGCACUGAAAACCAUGACUGCACUUAUU
rnacentral:pre_miRNA from 1 species